ensembl:lncRNA
CUGGGACUUGUUAAUGUGAUAGUUUCUCUCCCUGAAAUACAGCCUUAUGUAAGUCUGGUUCCAGGACUGGAGCAACAAAUUAGGAAAGCAGUUUGAGCUUUGUCUGUAACAGAGAACCUGCCACCUUGAGGAAGGGCUUCAGCUCCACUCCCAUCUUUAAAUCACACAGCCAGCGCCGCGGGGAUGAAACUAAGGAGCAAACCAAUAUUUGGCUGCCCAGAUGUACGUUGAAGGCCGGUUCAGCCUUCAGCAAGGAAAAACUUCUGUGCCGUGUCCAAAAUUUCAAGGCGCUGAAUGAGAAGUUCAUCUUCCUGGCACCCUGACAGCGAAUAUUGAUCACAUAACCCCGAGUGCAGGAACUAGGAGACUGCUCAUCCAGCUAACCGCGCCUCACCUGGAUGGUAGCAGCUGUUAGGAAAAAAUAUUGGUCUGUUGACCGUGUUAAAUGGAUGGCACCGCCUCUAAUACAAAUAUACUGUAGGGAAACAGGGAAGGGGAUGCUUCCUGACACCUGUCUUUAAUCUCUGGAUGCUCUGAGUCCCCAAGAUAAGCCAGAACCUGGCCUGAAAGUCCAUGUGGAAAGACAAACUAACUGUGAACCAGACGCAGACAUCAGCGCCCGGGGCGCAGCGCGUACCAAGAUAGCCCACAGCCACCUGCCAGCUUGCCACUGACCUUUUAUCUGCAUAAAUAGUCGUGACCUUUGGGCUGCUCAAAUUAGUGCUAGCUGCUCACCCAGGCCAGUAUCACAGCCCCAUCGUGCACAGGCCUUCCACUACUUUGACUCUGUUGCCUUCGCUUGGUGAACCAACAGGCAGAGGCACCGUGCUCAUGGCUUCUGUAGGCUGCAAACACCUCGCUGGAGCCUUCGUCCACCACUGAAGGGCACAAAGACCAAGGGAGGGAUCCUGCCACCCGCAGCUGUGUUGUCACUUCUCUGUAGGGCACGGUGAGCCUUCAGCUGCACUCCUGCUUGGGGCAUUAAUUCAGCACAUCCUUCAGGAAGAGUCCUGAAAGAGUUUUAAAAUCAACAGAAAGAAAUCAUUACCAAAAUGGCUACUCUUUCAGUAAGCCUCAAAAUGAGUUAUUUUGGUUAACACAGAAGUAGUUCACUACGUCACAGAUCUUUCUUUCCAAUAAAGUCUACGUUUUAUUCAGUGGACUGUAAGUUGUGUAGGGUUUAAUGCACAUUAUUUUCUCAGCAGAUGAAAACUAGCAUAUUUAUUUAUUUAUGUAUGCAUUUGCACCGUUUUACAAACAUGUUCUUUCAG